AUUGAACGCUGGCGGCAUGCCUUACACAUGCAAGUCGAACGGUAACAGGCCGCAAGGUGCUGACGAGUGGCGAACGGGGGAGUAAUGCAUCGGAACGUGCCCAGUCGUGGGGGAUAACCGCUCGACAGAGCAGCUAAUACCGCAUACGACCUGAGGGUGAAAGCGGGGGACCGUAAGGCCUCGCGCGAUUGGAGCGGCCGAUGUCAGAUUAGCUAGUUGGUGGGGUAAAUGCCUACCAAGGCAACGAUCUGUAGUUGGUCUGAGAGGACGACCAGCCACACUGGGACUGAGACACGGCCCAGACUCCUACGGGAGGCAGCAGUGGGGAAUUUUGGACAAUGGGCGCAAGCCUGAUCCAGCAAUGCCGCGUGCAGGAAGAAGGCCUUCGGGUUGUAAACUGCUUUUGUCAGGGAAGAAAUCUUCUGGGCUAAUACCCCGGGAGGAUGACGGUACCUGAAGAAUAAGCACCGGCUAACUACGUGCCAGCCGCCGCGGUAACAC
rnacentral:rRNA from 1 species